AGCAUAGCCGCGGGAAUACAGAGGGUGCGAGCGUUAAUCGGAUUUACUGGGCGUAAAGCGUGCGUAGGCGGCUAAUUGAGUCGGAUGUGAAAUCCCCGAGCUUAACUUGGGAAUUGCAUUCGAUACUGGUUAGCUAGAGUGUGGGAGAGGAUGGUAGAAUUCCAGGUGUAGCGGUGAAAUGCGUAGAGAUCUGGAGGAAUACCGAUGGCGAAGGCAGCCAUCUGGCCUAACACUGACGCUGAGGUACGAAAGCAUGGGGAGCAAACAGGAUUAGAUACCCCAGUAGUCCCUGUCUCUUAUACA
rnacentral:rRNA from 1 species